GUCCCUACGGGCGCAGCAGUGAGGAAUAUUGGUCAAUGGGAGAGAUCCUGAACCAGCCAAGCCGCGUGAGGGAAGACGGCCCUAUGGGUUGUAAACCUCUUUUGUCGGAGAACAAAACCCGGGACGAGUCCCGGACUGCGUGUAUCCGAAGAAAAAGCAUCGGCUAACUCCAUGCCAGCAGCCGCGGUAAUACGUAGGGAGCAAGCGUUGUCCGGAAUUACUGGGCGUAAAGGGCGCGUAGGUGGGCGCUUAAGUCAGGUGUGAAAACUCCGGGCUCAACCUGGAGACUGCACUUGAAACUGGGG
rnacentral:rRNA from 1 species